CAGUGGGAAAGCUGGGAAUUCAGAAUCUGCGAAAGACGUUCUUCGUCCUCUCCCAGCCGCUGUGUGACCUGGGAUGGAGAAACUGAGGCCUGGAGAAUAAAAUAAGCUGCCCAAGGUCGCACAGCUGGGUAGAUUUCAACAUAUGAGAUCAUGGCCUGCCUUAUUCAAGACUCUGCUGCAAGUGACAGAAAACUCAGUUUAAACCAGGCCCAGCAUCAGCACUGGGGGGUUCCUGGAAAAGUGGCUGGAGACUUCAUCCCCUUGUCCGUGUCACCAGGCAGCUCUUGCUUCUCUGGGAACUAUUGUGAAUGACCCGAGUACAAAAGUGUAAAUCAAAGCCUCCUGAUGCUUUGAGACCUUCACACUUUCACUGAACUGGCAACAUCAGCAGCUCUGUCUGCACCCACUGCACCAGUAUGACUGUUAGGAUUCAAACUGUCACCAGAGCUCCAGCAGACAGGAUUCUCUGACCUCACCCAUGUUGCCAGAACAUUCCAUGGUCCAGCUCAAACUCAUAUCCAGCAACUGUAAGACCCUCCAAGACAGUUUCUUUUUUGCAGUAAAAACCCCCAUGGAUGUGCAC